GGAACGCUAGCGGCAGGCUUUAACACAUGCAAGUCGAGGGGUAACAGGUAGCUUGCUAUGCUGACGACCGGCGAACGGGUGCGUAACGCGUAUAGAAUCUGCCUUGUACAGGAGGAUAGCCUUUAGAAAUGAAGAUUAAUACUCCAUAAUGUUAAUGAUUGGCAUCAGUUAUUAAUUAAACAUUUAUGGGUACAAGAUGACUAUGCGUCCUAUUAGCUAGAUGGUAAGGUAACGGCUUACCAUGGCAACGAUAGGUAGGGGGUCUGAGAGGAUUAUCCCCCACACUGGUACUGAGACACGGACCAGACUCCUACGGGAGGCAGCAGUGAGGAAUAUUGGUCAAUGGAGGCAACUCUGAACCAGCUAUGCCGCGUGCAGGACGACUGCCCUAUGGGUUGUAAACUGCUUUUAUACAGGAAGAAACCGAUCUACGUGUAGAUCCUUGACGGUACUGUAAGAAUAAGGACCGGCUAACUCCGUGCCAGCAGCCGCGGUAAUACGGAGGGUCCAAGCGUUAUCCGGAAUCAUUGGGUUUAAAGGGUCCGCAGGCGGUCAAUUAAGUCAGAGGUGAAAUCCCA
rnacentral:rRNA from 1 species